UGCAUCGGCCGGGAAUCGAACCCGGGCCACCCGCGUGGCAGGCGAGCAUUCUACCACUGAUCCACCGAUGG
rnacentral:tRNA from 1 species